rnacentral:lncRNA from 1 species
GCCCAUCUGAGAGCGACAAGAACUAAGAUCUCAUCGCAUUUAAGAAAUUACGUGGACUGAGUCAACUGAGUCAAUGCAUGACAAGAGGAAAGAAGGAAAAAGCAAAAUUGGAAAUAGAAUACAAUAUCAGGUAUCUUGUCAUCCACCAAGAGAACCUAUCACCAUGAGUACUUUACCAUACGAAUGCCUUUUUUAAAUUUUUUUAUCGAAUUGAUGCAUGU